AGUAAAAGUUCAAUACAUUGACAAGUUUAUUAAAUUGAAAUAAUUGCAUAUCUCUAGAAACUUUUUUCAGUGACUGGUAUGAAUUUACUCAUUUUCAUUUAUGAUAAACUCUUUGAAUAAAUACCACUUCUUUCAGUCCAACUAACAAGAAUCUGAUUGUAUUUAUGUUCAUGUACGUAUGGCACUUUUCUGCCCUAGAUCUACAGGACUGCUCAUGUAAGUAUGCAUGUCAAAGAUGCAUAUACAUUUGCCAGCUGAGAGCUAAAAUUAGAAUGCUUUAUUUCUACACAUUAAUGUCAUGGUUAUGCCAAAUGAAAAAGCUGUUGGACUCAGGAGGCUUUUUUUUUUUGUGCAAUUAUGAUUAAAAAUGCAAAAGACCUCAAGUGUGUUCUAGGCCAAAGAUAGCAAUACACGUGUAAAGCAGUUCUUGGUGUGCUCCAUAGGUCUGGACAGAGAUUUAUUUGGAAGUCUGUGUGUCCUGUCUUGCACCUCUUUGAUACUGAAAAUGACAGCUAUAGGCUAUUACAAACAGACUUCUGGACUUUGUGUAGAUGUAGAGGUCUGCAUGUGCAAAGCACAUGAGGUUCAAAAUGUUAAUCUCAAAAACAUCAGUGUAAAAAAAGGCCAGGUGUCCUAUGAACUAAUUGGGAAGACAAAAGGAUAGAAGUGAUCUGAAGUGGCACAAGCCAGAGCACUUUAAUAUAGAAUUUUUCUGGGAGAUAGCGUCUUAUGCUUUGAGAAGCAUUUGAGGAAAUGAGUAGCUCAGCUUGUAUUUACAGUGCUGUUAAUUAAAAGGGGAUUGAAGGACAUUUCCAUUACAUGGUUUUUCUCUUAAGCUUCAAUUACAACUUCUGUUUUAAAAGGAUAAUUUCUAAAAAGGAUCAUAAUUUAGUGUCCAGUAAAGUACACAGGUUUCGUAAGUAAAUGUUUAAACAAGAAUAGUGCAAGUCUAUUAGCUAAGACUUACUGAGGUAGAAGUCCAUCUGGUAUAAUUAAUUAUAUACAGGUGUUUGGCAUUUGUCAUAGAGCAGUUUAAAUAGAUGUAACAAAUGCAACUUUGUAAUUUUUUUUUUUUUUUUUUUAAGGUUCGCAUCCUUCAGUAUGGCUGUUCACAGCCUGGGUCUGUGGCUUUGCUUUUCUAGAAAACAAACCAGCCACAAACUAAGAAGUGUCACUGCCUGUUAUUCACUAACAGCCCUAUUAGAAAGAGGCAUGAAAUACAAGAUCAUGAAUGCUAAGUGUUUUUUACAUCAAGUAUUCUUGGAACAUCUAGACUGAGGUCUCCAAUGUGAAAUGACUGAACAUUGUUUAUGGAAGUUCCUGCCUCAAAAUAGGAUGCUGACAAGAACAUUUAUUGCAGUAUCUGUGUGCAUUAAAUCUAUAUGAGCCAGUUUAUAGAAUGGUUCUACAGAGCCUGAAAGGAAAGGAAAACAUCUGGGAGACUUCUAGUCCCAUUGGUGUAAGUGCUGAAUAUGGUGCAGAAGUAUCAAUUCUGCGUUAGUUAAUACCAAUGUAAUGCAGAGAGUUGCUAUUAAUAGUAAGUUGUUAGUAUCACUGAAUUAAUGAAUUCAGAUAUUUAAAGAAAAUAAUAAAGUGUGUGUGACACCUCCCUGCUUUGUCUUGCUUUACUCUAUUUAUUUUAUGGGCUAACUAAUAUUAGACAUACCAGGUAAGAGGAGCACUAAAACUGCUGUUUCUAAGAAUGUUUUUAACUAAUCAAUAAGAAAAUGAUGUAAAACUCUUAAGUUAUGGUAGAAAUGUACAUGUAGGUGGAAGUCUAUGUGGCCUGUCUUGCACCUUGCUAAUCAAUGAUGCCAAAAUUUGAAGGUUUUGUGUUCAGGUUUACAAGUCAGAAGUGAAAAUAGUUUCCAUUUUGUUAAAGAUUGUAAUGUGUUACCUGUUCCUGGAACUUUUCUUGCUUUCUGGUCUUUGCACCAAGAAAGCGAUGACGUUGGGAAGAGCACGUGAAGCUAGCAGCUAUUAACUAGAAUCUGUUAUAAGGCUGUAUGAGGAAUUUCCCAAGCUUACCAAAAGAAUACUUCAGAAAGUAAGUGAAAACACAACUCAAGAUUUUAAGCCCCAGUAAUGUAGAAGACCUGACAGAUAUUACUGUGGCUGCAAACAAAAGAGGAAUCUUACUAGAACUUAAAUUUCCACUCUUACAAAUGGUAGCCAUGAGUUGGGAAGUCAGCACAUCACUGGUGCUCAUUUCUACUCCUUAAGUACUUUUAUUAAUGGAUAACCUCAUCCUCAAAAGUGGAUGUUUGAUUAAGUCAUCUUAUUUUUUCCUGGCCUUGAAAAUCAAUAAUAGCAUGAAACUUUGUCAAAAAGUGUUGCAGAUUUAUUGGAAAUCUUCUCAAAACAUAGUAAUCUGGAAUGAUAAAAGUUAAACUUAAUUCUCACAUAAUUAAGAAUUUUAUUGGAUUUAAGUAAGUAGACCAAAAGUAACUUUUUAACUGUGGGGUUGGGACCAUUACAAACGUGAAGGGAAAUUCUAGCUUCCAUAGUAAAUGAAUACUUUGCCCAGGGAUUGAUGAAGACCUGGUUCUUUGGCCCCAGAAGAGACCUUGGUUACUUGGAUUAAGGCAUCUAUCCGCUGUUGGCCACAGGAAAACUUUUGAGAGUUGUGAACAGCAAACUCCAGUCUAUAACUGGAAACACUUACUGGUGUGACAUUCUAUGGUUCCUUCUGGGCAUAGGGUUCCUUCUGGCAAGAUCUCACUGAACUUUUAACUCUAUUCAUGCAGUUUCUUCUCUACUGCAAAUAACUGCACAAACCCCUUAUAGCUAGAAGGACACAACUUUCCUGUUUGACACUGCUACAAGCUGGGAUAUGUGAAACAUUAAUCCUAAAAAAACCUGAAACAACUUGAUUGGAAUGUCAUUCCUUUCUUCUUUCAGACAUGGCUGGCUAGUAAUGUAUAGCUGCUUUAGAGAGUUGAAGUGUAAGGAAACAACAAACUAUUGAUGCAAAUCGUAAAUUGGACCAAGAAGUAACUUCAGCUAAACAGUGACAUGCAAAUCAGGACGAGAAGACUAAAGAUCUAUGGAAUACUUAGUGCUGGUGAUCUAAAAAGCAGACCUUGAACUGCUCGGUUUUCAUCAGCUGUACCAAAGGGAAAAGAGCAAAAGCUUGUUUUUACUACUAAGCUGAGUGAAUAUGGCGUGGAAAUCUUGUAAUGGCAAGGUAUCAAUUUUGUAAAGUGAUAUAUUUCAGAGGGGAUACUAAAUUCGACUGUGAAUAAAAAGCUUUAUAAAUGGAA